CCACUCGAUCAUCAUCUCUGUCAUUCUAUCACAAUGCACCCAACUGCCUUUAUUUAUUAAAAGAAUUAAAUAAAAGCGGCAAAUUAGCAAAAAUAGGGACGUUAAUUUUCACGAACGCAUAAUGUUUGUGACGUACGUCCAAUAUCCAUCCCUUGCAUUAAUCAUAUAUAUGACCAGAAGUCUCACUUGUUUUGCCCCUUCUGCUUCUAAACGAUUAUAUCUCUUAGCUAGCUAGCUAUGGUUAAUUCGGUCUUCCUCGCGUUCCAUCCAUUAGGGUCAACAAAUUAACGUUUGCUUUUUUUAUAAUUUGCCAUCUACCUCAACCAGCCUCUUCGCUCUCUGUGAUUUCAGGUUUAGCUAGCGAUGGUGAUGAUGGGGUUGGAAAGACUGUUGAUGACUUUGAAAUCUAAAAUAAGGUCCUUGAAGAUGAAGAAACCUUACGAUAAGAUCGAAAAGAGUGAGAGCAUGAGAAUUGAAAUAAGAAGCAAGAAGGCUCGCAGGCUUAUUGAAAAGACUCUGAAAAUAGCAGAUAAAGAUUCGUCCAAGACCAGCACUAGUAUUACUCUUGCCUUUUAAGCAAUUCUCGUCCAAUGAUUGAAAUAAAAAGCUGGCACUACUUAUAAAUUUCUCUUUUUGAUGUUUAUUGCCGUUCAUAUAUAAGAGAUGACGCAAGGAUUUUUGCCCUUUUC